ACUCAUCUGAUCUGUCUGCGGCAGAGGUUUUGACUCUAGGCCCUCUGGUGUGUGAGUUAGACCCAGCCUGGAUUUCCUCUCUGAACCCCGCGGCUCUGAACUCCACCCUGCAGGCUCUCGCCUCCUGUCAGUAUAUCCAGCAACAGCACAGAGAGCAUCUGUUCAGACUGCUUACGACCACCUAUGGGGACACUACUUUAUGGUCAGAGGAAGAUAUGAGGGUGCUUGGGCCACUUUUGUUACUUAAUGACACUGCCAUUGAAAAGCUGCCACCCAAAAGCUGGGUAAAGUCAUAUCUGUCAGACCUGAUGGACAGUUUGCCCAGUCAGCCUGUGGUUCCUCCUCCAAAGGAGUUCCGCUCUUGGUUUGAUCUCUCUGCACUUCAUCGCAAACUUUUUGACCUCAAAACGAGUAGCACACUACAAAACCGCAGGAAGCGUGAAGUGGUGUCCACUCCAAUAGAGCCCACGCUCCCAUAUAUUGAGGAUCUCAAACAGGGGAAUGUAUACUGGACUCCCACCCAGUUCAGUAAAAUGACUGUGCAGACUUUCAAAGAUGUUGUGCCAACAUUAGGAGAGAUAACCAACUACAGCACAGAACAACUGGCUGCACUCAGAGCAAAAACUCUGGAGGUACACACAAACACACACACACACACACAAAC
rnacentral:lncRNA from 1 species